AACGAACGCUGGCGGCAGGCUUAACACAUGCAAGUCGAACGCCCCGCAAGGGGAGUGGCAGACGGGUGAGUAACGCGUGGGAAUCUACCCAUCUCUACGGAAUAACUGAGGGAAACUUGUGCUAAUACCGUAUACGCCCUUCGGGGGAAAGAUUUAUCGGAGAUGGAUGAGCCCGGGUUUGAUUAGCUAGUUGGUGGGGUAAAGGCCUACCAAGGCGACGAUCCAUAGCUGGUUCGGGAGGAUGAUCAGCCACAUUGGGACUGAGAAACGGCCCAAACUCCUACGGGAGGCAGCAGUGGGAAAUAUUGGACAAUGGGCGCAAGCCUGAUCCAGCCAUGCCGCGUGAGUGAUGAAGGUCUUAGGGUUGUAAAGCUCUUUCACCGGAGAAGAUAAUGACGGUAUCCGGAGAAGAAGCCCCGGCUAACUUCGUGCCAGCCGCCGCGGUAA
rnacentral:rRNA from 1 species